UUCCACAGCUACUGGUCUGCAGCUGUUCUUAUGGUAGCAGUUGUGGCAUUCCUCUGUGGGAAAGAAACUGUUACUACACAAUUAAAUACCUCUUUCUUAGCACAACAGAAAGUGGGCAUGUGCGUAACAAACAUAA